CAAUAUCUUGCUGUCACUGACUUCUCUCCUUGGCCUGGAAACUUCCUGAUUUCAUAGGGUGCCACUGACUGCUCUCUCUGCAACUGCAAAAUCUCUCAAAGGGCCCUGUCCAGUUAGGUCACACAGAGCCAGGCUGAUUAUUUAGAGAGCACACAAUGCCCCCUCACAUGGGGCACAGAGAGGAAGGAAUUUUUUUUUAGGCCAAUUCCAGUCCCUGGAGCUGCAAAUUGCCCUCAGGGCAAAGAAGCCUGCAGAAUAAUUGGGAAGAGUCUGGCAGGAGGGAAGCCAAGAUGCCUGUCAUGGAAGGAAACAUGGAAGACUGCAGAGAAGUUCUUAGAAGCAAGUUCUUCUUGGUGGAUGCCUGAGGUCAUUUUGGUCAGGCCAGUUUCUUUGAGAUGGUAAACCUGGGGAAAUUUGCAUGCCUGCUUUCUUCCCUGAUUUGUCUGGCUGGCAAUCCAAGUACAGAGUGCAGAUUAGAACAACUGCAGAGAACAG
rnacentral:lncRNA from 13 species